UCCAUUUUUUUAUCCAUACUUCUAAUAUUUGAUUUGUAUCUGUAUUUACUUUAAAUAAAUAUGGAUAUGAAUUCUUGCAUCUGAAUCAGAAGAAAGAAGACUAUGAGACCUUUGUCCCAAUUGAAUUGCAAGGGAUGACCUAUACAGGUAGAUGGAUGAGAACUCAAGGCCAAAGGUUACUAGUACUUUAAUAACUACUUAAAUAGAUUACUAGAACAAAGAAGAAAGCAAGGGAGAGCUUUAAGUUGAUUGAGAGAGUUGUCGCUCCCAAUAAUGAGAUUUGAGAAAAGUAGAAAUGGUAGAUCAGGCCCAAAAAAAAGUAAAUUAUUGUAUUUUUCAUUUAUCACCAGUAAUCACUCUAUUAGAGGGAUUGAAUAAGCUUUAUAGAAAAAAAAUUAAUGAAACUUAUUCCACAGGUAUUUUUUUGGAUAAGGAAGAGAUGGAAGAUGGGUGACAAUUAUCCAAGAUGGAAAGAAGGAAAUAGAUAAAUAUGGAGGUAAAAAGAAAACUCAAGCAAGGGAGAAUGGAAUUUGACAUAAACAUAGGAGAUGCCUUAGGUAGUAAUUGAGAUGCCUUAUUCAAACAAGAGAUGAUGCAUGCUUUAUAAGGAAGCUUGGAAAUAGCAUACUUAUUUCACCUAGCACAAAGUACUCGAGUGCCACUGCUGCUGUUGCUAUUCCAUCUAUUUAUGAAUAUUGUCCUGUAAAUAGAGUUGCCUAUCCUGUGGGCUAAAAAUGGGUC
rnacentral:lncRNA from 1 species